CUUGUUUUAUUGUUCUUUGGUUUAUGAGUUUACUUUAAUCCUCUUCCGGCUGAGUAUUAGAGUAAUCAUUGCUAGCGUAAACGUGGUGUUUAGGCUAGGGUACUCAUAGAUAUCCCCUGACUAGCUGGACCGUGGUAGUAGCGAGGAACGUGACAUUUCCGAGUUACCUUUGCAUCCCACAUCUCGUUAGCAGGACGGGUAGGUUUAUAGGUGCGGGUCGAACAUCCUUUGUGGUGUCUAGAUUCCGUAAGCUUCCCCAAUAGAACAGUAGAUCAUCCUUACCAACGUUAGAACGAGACUACGGUUGCAGUCUUCUCUAUACAUCACUCACAUCGAGAAACAUUCUUUGUAGCCUAAAGGGAUAGUAGCAAUAGAUUUGGUUAGUCAGAUGCACCCUUUCUCCCAGUGGUAAAAAUAUAAAUACGAUACUCUGGAAAACCUCCCGGGUGAAAUUCUCACCGAUAUCCAUGCGCUUGCGGAUCAUUUCCUUAUUGCGUUACCAAAUAUCAACAAGCAUUUCUAGCGCCGUUGCCGGGGAGAAAGACGGUUUGCUGAGAUAACAAUCAGUCUUGCUAUUAUCUUGUAUUAUACUUUUAUACUUUUAUUCUUUUAUCUUUUUAUUUUUUCUAUCUCUAUGGAUAACUUAAAUUCCAUACCUAUUAUUGAAUUCUUUGCACAUUCGGAGACCAGCCAUAGACCAUGGAAGUCAACAAGUCCUGUCCCUAAUUA
rnacentral:lncRNA from 1 species